UGGCUCUGUGGUGAAGCUUGGAGCUUUGGGGAAAUGCGGUAGUUGGUAGUAGAGUUUGGUUUGUGUCAUAAAUUUCUCUCUGUGUGUGCUAUAAAUAUAAUUCGAUUGAGGCGCCAAAGGGGCUAGUGGUGGGUGGCCAAGCCACCAAUAAAGUGCCACAAAUUCGGAGACACUCGAUGGAGCGGCUGUCGGUCGUCAGUGUACCCUCAUUAACGGGCAACAGGGAGUUAAGGCGAAGGUCGUAGGCCCUAGGAGCCGCCGUUGCAGUCUCGUAAGCAGUUCAUGGUCAGCCUAAUCGUUACACUUAUUCGAGUUUUGGAGCUGCGUGACUUUGCAGUUGCUUUCCCAGCCGCGAAAUUAAACAAAACUGUAUACAAUGUA